UUUUUGUUGAUGAUAAAAUAGAAAAUCCGUUUUUACAACAGUUGAACGCAACUAGCUGAAGAUAAAGCAAGUCACUAAACAGCGUGAUUUUCUUUGCAGAAAAUGGUAAAAUUGAAUAUGAAGUAAGGGACUUGAUAUGUGAAUAGAAACAUUAAUGUAACAUUUCAAAGUUAACAAACUAAGUAAAACUUCGAAUAAAAAAAUAAAAUAUCCAGUAAAGUCAAGACAAAUAAUGAUGA